UGGGGGAUAUUGCACAAUGGGCGAAAGCCUGAUGCAGCGACGCCGCGUGGGGGAUGAAGGCCUUCGGGUUGUAAACUUCUUUUGCUCUGAACAAGGCAUGCUAAUGGGUGUGUCGAGUGUAGGGGUUGAUUAGCGCCGGCUAACUACGUGCCAGCAGCCGCGGUAAUACGUAGGGCGCGAGCGUUGUCCGGAAUUAUUGGGCGUAAAGGGCUUGUAGGUGGCUGGUUGCGUCUGUCGUGAAAGCUCAUGGCUUAACUGUGGGUUUGCGGUGGGUACGGGCUGGCUUGAGUGCAGUAGGGGAGGCUGGAAUUCCUGGUGUAGCGGUGGAAUGCGCAGAUAUCAGAAGGAAUACCGGUGGCGAAGGCGGGUCUCUGGGCUGUUACUGACACUGAGGAGCGAAAGCAUGGGGAGCGAACAGG
rnacentral:rRNA from 1 species